rnacentral:tRNA from 2 species
GCCGGCGUGGCGGAACCGGGAGACGCGGCAGACUCAAAAUCUGCUGGACGCAUGUCCGUGUGGGUUCGAGUCCCACCGCCGGCA